UACGGGGGGGGCAAGCGUUGUUCGGAAUUACUGGGCGUAAAGGGCCAGUAGGCGGCCAACUAAGUCGGAUGUGAAAUCCCCAGGCUCAACUUGGGAACUGCAUCCGAUACUGGAUGGCUUGAAUUCGGGAGAGGGAUGCAGAAUUCCAGGUGUAGCGGUGAAAUGCGUAGAUAUCAGGAGGAACACCAGUGGCGAAGGCGGCUUCCUGGCCUGUUCUUGACGCUGAGGCGCGAAAGCUAGGGGAGCAAACGGG
rnacentral:rRNA from 1 species